GUGGCGAACGGGUGAGUAACACGUGAGCAACCUGCCCUGGACUCUGGGAUAAGCGCUGGAAACGGCGUCUAAUACUGGAUAUGAGCUCUCAUCGCAUGGUGGGGGUUGGAAAGAUUUUUCGGUCUGGGAUGGGCUCGCGGCCUAUCAGCUUGUUGGUGAGGUAAUGGCUCACCAAGGCGUCGACGGGUAGCCGGCCUGAGAGGGUGACCGGCCACACUGGGACUGAGACACGGCCCAGACUCCUACGGGAGGCAGCAGCGGGGAAUAUUGCACAAUGGGCGGAAGCCUGAUGCAGCAACGCCGCGUGAGGGAUGACGGCCUUCGGGUUGUAAACCUCUUUUAGCAGGGAAGAAGCGAGAGUGACGGUACCUGCAGAAAAAGCGCCGGCUAACUACGUGCCAGCAGCCGCGGUAAUACGUAGGGCGCAAGCGUUAUCCGGAAUUAUUGGGCGUAAAGAGCUCGUAGGCGGUUUGUCGCGUCUGCUGUGAAAUCCCGAGGCUCAACCUCGGGCCUGCAGUGGGUACGGGCAGACUAGAGUGCGGUAGGGGAGAUUGGAAUUCCUGGUGUAGCGGUGGAAUGCGCAGAUAUCAGGAGGAACACCGAUGGCGAAGGCAGAUCUCUGGGCCGUAACUGACGCUGAGGAGCGAAAGGGUGGGGAGCAAACAGGCUUAGAUACCCUGGUAGUCCACCCCGUAAACGUUGGGAACUAGUUGUGGGGACCAUUCCACGGUUUCCGUGACGCAGCUAACGCAUUAAGUUCCCCGCCUGGGGAGUACGGCCGCAAGGCUAAAACUCAAAGGAAUUGACGGGGACCCGCACAAGCGGCGGAGCAUGCGGAUUAAUUCGAUGCAACGCGAAGAACCUUACCAAGGCUUGACAUAC
rnacentral:rRNA from 1 species